GACGAACGCUGGCGGCGUGCUUAACACAUGCAAGUCGAGCGGUAAGGCCCUUUCGGGGGUACACGAGCGGCGAACGGGUGAGUAACACGUGGGUGACCUGCCCUCAGCUCUGGGAUAAGCCUGGGAAACCGGGGUCUAAUACCGGAUAUGACUCCAUGACGCAUGUUGUGGGGUGGAAAGCCUUGUGCGGCUGAGGAUGGGCCCGCGGCCUAUCAGCUUGUUGGUGGGGUGAUGGCCUACCAAGGCGACGACGGGUAGCCGGCCUGAGAGGGCGACCGGCCACACUGGGACUGAGACACGGCCCAGACUCCUACGGGAGGCAGCAGUGGGGAAUCUUGCGCAAUGGGCGAAAGCCUGACGCAGCGACGCCGCGUGAGGGAUGACG
rnacentral:rRNA from 1 species